GAUGAAGCGGGGACCUUCGGGCCUCGCGCUAUAGGGUUGGCCGAUGGCUGAUUAGCUAGUUGGAUGGGUAAGGCCUACCAAGGCGACGAUCAGUAGCUGGUCUGAGAGGACGACCAGCCACACUGGGACUGAGACACGGCCCAGACUCCUACGGGAGGCAGCAGUGGGGAAUUUUGGACAAUGGGCGAAAGCCUGAUCCAGCAAUGCCGCGUGUGUGAAGAAGGCCUUCGGGUUGUAAAGCACUUUUGUCCGGAAAGAAAUCCUUGGCUCUAAUACAGUCGGGGGAUGACGGUACCGGAAGAAUAAGCACCGGCUAACUACGUGCCAGCAGCCGCGGUAAUACGUAGGGUGCAAGCGUUAAUCGGAAUUACUGGGCGUAAAGCGUGCGCAGGCGGUUUGCUAAGACCGAUGUGAAAUCCCGGGCUCAACCUGGGAACUGCAUUGGUGACUGGCAGGCUAGAGUAUGGCAGAGGGGGUAGAAUUCCACGUGUAGCAGUGAAAUGCGUAGAGAUGUGGAGGAAUACCGAUGGCGAAGGCAGCCCCUGGGCCAAUACUGACGCUCAUGCACGAAAGCGUGGGAGCAAACAGGAUUAGAGUACCUGGUAGACUCCACGCCCUAAACGAUGUCAACUAGUUGUUGGGGAUUCAUUUCCUUAGUAACGUAGCUAACGCGUGAAGUUG
rnacentral:rRNA from 1 species